GCUGGCGGUAUGCUUAACACAUGCAAGUCGAACGGAAACGAUGUUAGCUUGCUAACAGGCGUCGAGUGGCGGACGGGUGAGUAACGCGUAGGAAUCUGCCUGAUAGUGGGGGAUAGCGCGGAGAAAUCCGGAUUAAUACCGCAUAAUCUACACGUAGUAAAGGAGGCCUCUAUUUAUAAGCUUUCGCUAUCAGAUGAGCCUGCGUAAGAUUAGCUUGUUGGUGAGGUAAAAGCUCACCAAGGCGACGAUCUUUAGCUGGUCUGAGAGGAUGAUCAGCCACACUGGGACUGAGACACGGCCCAGACUCCUACGGGAGGCAGCAGUGGGGAAUAUUGGACAAUGGGCGCAAGCCUGAUCCAGCAAUACCGCGUGUGUGAAGAAGGCCUGAGGGUUGUAAAGCACUUUCAAUUGUGAAGAAAAGCUAAAGGUUAAUAACCUUUAGCCUUGACGUUAACUUUAGAAGAAGCACCGGCUAACUCCGUGCCAGCAGCCGCGGUAAUACGGAGGGUGCAAGCGUUAAUCGGAAUUACUGGGCGUAAAGCGUGCGUAGGUGGUUUGUUAAGUCAGAUGUGAAAGCCCCGGGCUUAACCUGGGAACUGCAUUUGAAACUGGUCAACUAGAGUAUGGUAGAGGAAAGUGGAAUUUCUGGUGUAGCGGUGAAAUGCGUAGAUAUCAGAAGGAACAUCAAUGGCGAAGGCAGCUUUCUGGACCAAUACUGACGCUGAGGUACGAAAGCGUGGGUAGCAAACAGGAUUAGAUACCCUGGUAGUCCACGCCGUAAACGAUGAUAACUAGCCGUUGGGGGGAUUUACCCUUUAGUGGCGAAGCUAACGCGUUAAGUUAUCCGCCUGGGGAGUACGGCCGCAAGGUUAAAACUCAAAGGAAUUGACGGGGACCCGCACAAGCGGUGGAGCAUGUGGUUUAAUUCGAUGCAACGCGAAGAACCUUACCUGGUCUUGACAUCCUGCGAACUUUCUAGAAAUAGAUUGGUGCCUUCGGGAACGCAGUGACAGGUGCUGCAUGGCUGUCGUCAGCUCGUGUCGUCAGAUGUUGGGUUAAGUCCCGUAACGAGCGCAACCCCUAUCCUUAUUUGCCAGCACAUCAUGGUGGGAACUAUAAGGAGACUGCCGGUGAUAAACCGGAGGAAGGCGGGGACGACGUCAAGUCAUCAUGGCCCUUACGACCAGGGCUACACACGUGCUACAAUGGGAAGGACAAAGAGCCGCGAAGCCGCGAGGUGUAGCUAAUCUCAUAAACCUUUUCGUAGUCCGGAUUGGAGUCUGCAACUCGACUCCAUG
rnacentral:rRNA from 1 species